UGAGAGGAGCUGUCCUUAGUACGAGAGGACCGGGAUGGACGCACCGCUGGUGUACCAGUUGUUCUGCCAAGGGCAUCGCUGGGUAGCUAUGUGCGGACGGGAUAAGUGCUGAAAGCAUCUAAGCAUGAAGCCCCCCUCAAGAUGAGAUUUCCCAUUCCGCAAGGAAGUAAGAUCCCUGAAAGAUGAUCAGGUUGAUAGGUCUGAGGUGGAAGCGUGGUGACACGUGGAGCUGACAGAUACUAAUAGAUCGAGGACUUAACCUAU
rnacentral:rRNA from 1 species